ensembl:lncRNA
GAGCUUACACACAUUUUUAUUUGCAAGUAACCUUCACAUGCUGACAUUAAUCACCGUGAUGUCAAUUAAUCACAUGUCAAAGUCAUUACAGAAUGCAAAUUAUGUAAGACUGUAAGGCUGUGUGAUGUGCAGGGAUGGACAGAUAGAUGAGUAGGUUCUUGAAAUGGUGAGAGUGGAGUGACCUUAUUGCUGAGCAGGAUCCAGCUGCCUCCCGGCUGGAUCGGAGCUGUAGAGGGCUGUUCCGUCACAUCCAGCUCAGUCCGAGCAGAGCGGCGGCAGGGAUGAGCGUCGGGGACUAGGCGGUAACGCAGCAACGCAUUUCACAGUGAUGGCCUCAGCUGCGCAGCUGUGCCGGUGAUCCUGCCGCUGCACGUAGGGAAGAAGCAGAGACGCCUUGACAACCGACCUACCUUCCUCCCCCUCUUCAAAAAAAACAGCAGAGAGAAAAAAGAAAACACACCAGCAUAAACAAAUGCGACCAUGUACAGCGUGGAGGACCUCCUCAUCUCUCAUGGAUAUAAACUGCCUAAGCAUACCACCUCCUCCACUCCUACGCCAGCCCCUGCAUCCUCGUCCCACCAGCCUCCCUCAUCCUCACCGCCAUCCUACAGCAGACACCAUGAAAUACUCGAGAACAGGCCCGGCCCCAGGACAGUGAAUGGCUAUGAAAGAGGCCCUCUGGUGCCCUAUGGGAACGGAGGUGGAACUAGGCAGCCCCAGGUGUAUGAUGGCAGCUGUCCCAACAACAACAACGAACUCAGGGACAGGAGCCAGCCAAGACGGGAGGGGGAGGGCCGGAGCCAAACUGACACCCACUCCUUGGGAGAAUCUCUGACCUCAGACAGUGGGUAAGACGUGAUUAAGUUCAGUGACCAGGUCCUUUUCGGCCCUUUUGCAUGCCCUAUCUUAAUUUUGCUGAUACUUGCCCUUCAUUGAAUCAUGAUGGAAUCAUUUGUUCUCAUGGUGGUCUGAUAGAGCAGAUAAAUGAACUGAAAUAACUCAUGGACUUUUGCAUCACAUCUUAAAUGAAAC